rnacentral:rRNA from 1 species
CGUAACAAGGUCUCCGUAGGUGAACCUGCGGAGGGAUCAUUACAAGAACGCCCGGGCUUCGGCCUGGUUAUUCAUAACCCUUUGUUGUCCGACUCUGUUGCCUCCGGGGCGACCCUGCCUUCGGGCGGGGGCUCCGGGUGGACACUUCAAACUCUUGCGUAACUUUGCAGUCUGAGUAAACUUAAUUAAUAAAUUAAAACUUUUAACAACGGAUCUCUUGGUUCUGGCAUCGAUGAAGAACGCAGCGAAAUGCGAUAAGUAAUGUGAAUUGCAGAAUUCAGUGAAUCAUCGAAUCUUUGAACGCACAUUGCGCCCCCUGGUAUUCCGGGGGGCAUGCCUGUUCGAGCGUCAUUUCACCACUCAAGCCUCGCUUGGUAUUGGGCAACGCGGUCCGCCGCGUGCCUCAAAUCGUCCGGCUGGGUCUUCUGUCCCCUAAGCGUUGUGGAAACUAUUCGCUAAAGGGUGUUCGGGAGGCUACGCCGUAAAACAACCCCAUUUCUAAGAUUGACCUCGGAUCAGGUAGGGAUACCCGCUGAACUUAAGCAUAUCA